UGAGGUCACAGCCCGCCUCUACUCCUCGCUGCAACUCACCCGAGAUCUCCAGGCCAAAGGUCAACCAUCACCAGGCCACACUCACAGGCCUCCUGGUUGUCUGACCCACCUUUUGGAUUAUUGCCUAGGGAAUGUAUCUAUUUUGGAUGUCCCUCGCCAUAUCUCCCUCUGGAAUACCUAUCGGGUUUCCCUCUUUGACUCUCCUGCGGCCCGGAGUAGAUCCUGCCGCUACCUGUUUUUUUCUCUGGCUAGUUAUAGGGCCUCUCCACUGAAGCGCUUCCCUACCUGGCUCCACUCUUCUCCACCUGCUUUUUCUCUGCUCUGCGCCCUGAAGCAAGCUGGCUGCCAACUGGAGCGCCUGAGCUGGAAGUCUGGGCUCACUGCCCACACUGAGGCCUACAAACUACCUCUCCACCAACAGAUGCUGGCAGGUCUGCCUACUUCUCAAACAUCAUUCAAUAAGAACUCCCAGACUGUUCUCGACUGUCAGCAAACCACUUCAGCCCAUGAUGACACCUUCUCUACUUCCUCCACUGAACUCUGCAACUCCUUCCUUCAGUUUUUCAAGGACAAGUUCACCCAAAUAAACUCAUCACUGACUGAUAAUUCUCCCUCAGCCGCACCUUCCCCUGUUAACCUCCCAACCGUCACCCCUGAAACCCGUCUCAGAAUUCGCCCCAUCUCAAAACUCAUGUCAUCCAAGACUACAACUUGCUCCCUGGAUCCUCUCCACUUUUCUCAUCAAAGUCUGCUCGCUGUCCAUAUAUCGUACACAUCUCUAAUCUCUCCCUUGCCCACGGAACUGUCCCCUCCAACUGCAAAACAGCUGCUAUCACCACCAUCUUAAAAAUGCUAGGGCUAGACCCUACCAUCCUCAAUAACUUCCACCCCAUUACCAACCUUUCCUUCCUUGCCAAGACUCUGGAACGGACUGUUGCCUCUUAAUUACAAACCCACCUGCUAAUCAUCAACCUAUUCAGAGCCCUCCCAUUCUGGUUUCCACUCCCUCCACAGUACUGAAACUGCAAUCCUCAAAGUUGUCAAUGACCACCUCUGCUGAUGCCCUCAACAUCCUGAUUCUCCUCGACCUGAGUGUGGUUUUUGACACAAUGAGCCAUCAAAUCCUCCUCACU
ensembl:lncRNA